ensembl:lncRNA
UACUUUAUUUACAGGUAUCCAUUAAUAAAAUUGGAUGGCAGAUUAGGAUAAAUGCAUUUAAACCAUACAAAUUGAAUCUGGCUGUGGAUACCGACAAUUCCAGGGAGAAUUUAACUAUCCAAACAAUGGAGAAUGGAAACUGGCAGUAAUAACACACUGGCUUGAUAUAAAACAUUGACUCAGCUCCCAAUAGAUUUAUUCCAUCUGAAUGGUUUUCCUGACAGUAUCUGUCCCACCAGAACAAUGUUCUGUUCUAAAUAAAGCUCUAACCAACAGACAGUGCAGCGCAGUGCCCAUUUCUGUCCUUUUUCCAAAAGUGUAUGAGAACAGAGCAGAGCACCAUCCCUACAGAUUCAGAAUUAAAGUACAGAAAAGGACCUUUUGCUCCAUACCAUCUGUCCAGAACAGUAAUCUCUAUUUACUCUUCAAACUGAGCAGGCUGUAGCCUACAAGCAUCGCAUUAAAGAGAGACUAACCACUCAGAGACCUGAUUUAUUCUACAGGCUCGACUAGACAGUUUGGCUCGACCCUGUAAUGUGAAUCAUUUUGGAAAGAAUGGUACAAAGAGAUACCCAUGACUUGUCUUUUUUCUAUAGAACUAGAAUGACUGCCCUUCAGACAACAGCAAUAUGAAUGGGUCAUGGAUGGAUACAUCUAAAGACAACCUGAUACACCGUUUUAAAAAAUGAAAAUCACAAUAGGAUCUCUGAUAAACACAAUUAAAAGGGAAAAGUCUGAUUAUUUGUCACAGACCAUUGACUUAAAUGGGAAUUCCAGUUCCAGUAUUUCUAUGGUUUUACCUGUGUUUGGCUCAACUGUUAAAACACAGUAAUACAGUUGAUCAGUAUUCAAAUGUAAGUAAUCAAAAACAGAGUGUUGUGAUGUUUAAAUAGGAGGGUGUGACAGGAUCUCUGUCUAUAGCAUAAGGUGUGUAGCAUGUUUUACUGGCUUGUUUAAUAGAAAUACACCACCUGCUCAUUUAUUAUGGUGUUGACCUCAAAAGGUCCCAAUAGGUCCGGAAUCACAGCUUAUAACAGCUCAAUCAGACACAUUCGGUCAUAAUAACACAGCACUUGUUCAGACUGCAACAGAGACAAAAUAUAAAGCCUUAAUGAUAGAAUGUAAGUUCCAAAACAAAUGUGACCUAUAACGAAAGAAGCAAUCUAAUCCAACUUUGGGCAGCAUUCACUUUCGGGCGAUGACACAUACUCAAUAUUAUAAUGGACAAAAAUAAACAAUGCUACAUCCAUAUAUACACAUGCCCUUAUCCAAUCUUUACAAAAAUAAACAUUACACUACAUUUUGUUCCAUCUCUGGGCUGAAUCCUAACAUGAGCCCAUUGCAACCCAAGUCAGACUUCUUGCACAGAUCUCCCAUUGACAUCAAUGUAUUUAUGCAAACAAGAUAAGCGCGAAUCACAAGUUAAGACUCAGCCUUAUGUGACUGACUACAUUGUUGGGGAUAGAGUCAUAAGUAGAACACCUGUCCACUGGAUAAUCUGAAAAGGCACCCUAUUCCUUAUGUAGUGCACUUCUUUUGGCUACAUGGUAUAGGUGUUGCGUACUACAUAGGGAACAGGAAGCUGUCCCACAUCAGGAGUGUACUAGUGUGGUCAGGUCCAGGUUCAUGUUGUAUAUGGCAGAGAACUCUUUGGAGAGGAGCUCAUGGAGGCACAUGCCAUCAUGGGAGUAGACCCACCGCUGUCCUGUCCAAUCAUAACGCUUUGGGCCACUGGAAUAAGUCACAGGAACCAGAAGUAG